rnacentral:lncRNA from 1 species
CUAUUUUUGGAUUAAAUUGUUGCAUCUACAUCAAGUAGUAUCAGAGCAAGUUCUGAUCUAAGAACUUUUAUUCACAUACAUUAUUAGAAUCAUACAUUAUUGCAUGCACAUUAUAUGAACUUGUCAUAUCUGCACUUUAUUGUUGUCUAGAAAGAUUUAAAAAAAAUUAAAAGUCUAUUUCUUGCAUCUUGUUGGUUGUCCAUAUCUUUCUCAAAUCAUUAACAUAUCAUUGUAGGGCCAUUAGCAUCUCAAAAUAAUGAACAACCACUUAGAAAAUCCUACAGAUUGGAGAAAGGCAUAUGAAAGACAAUAAGGGGCUAUGAGAAAUAUGCAAAAUCAAGUAAAUCAAAUACAACAAAUAUUAGAAACUAUGACCAUGACUCAUCAACACGGGGG